rnacentral:tRNA from 1 species
GGAUAUAGCUCAGUUGGUAGAGUGCUUGCCUUGCAAGCACAAGGCCCUGAGUUCGAGACCCAGAACCA